AGAGUUUGAUCCUGGCUCAGGAUGAACGCUGGCGGCGUGCCUAAUACAUGCAAGUCGAGCGAAGGAUGUAGCAAUAUAUCUUUAGCGGCGAACGGGUGAGUAACGCGUUGGUGACCUGCCUCGAAGCGUGGGAUAACAGUUCGAAAGGAUUGCUAAUACCGCAUGUGGUUGAAGAGAUUAGAAGCUUUCCAACUAAAGGAGAAAUUCACUUCGAGAGGGGCCUGCGUCCCAUCAGCUAGUUGGUAAGGUAACGGCUUACCAAGGCUAUGACGGGUAGGGGACCUGAGAGGGUGGCCCCCCACAAUGGAACUGAAACACGGUCCAUACACCUACGGGUGGCAGCAGUAGGGAAUAUUGCAUAAUGGGCGAAAGCCUGAUGCAGCAACGCCGCGUGUGCGAUGAAGGCCUUCGGGUCGUAAAGCACUUUUAGAGAGGAUGAGGAAGGACAGUACUCUCUGAAUAAGCCUCGGCUAACUACGUGCCAGCAGCCGCGGUAAAACGUAGGAGGCGAGCGUUAUCCGGAUUUACUGGGCGUAAAGCGCGUGCAGGCGGUAAGGAAAGUUGGAUGUGAAAGCUCCUGGCUUAACUGGGAGAGGUCGUUCAAAACUACCUAACUAGAGUGUGGGAGAGGGAGGUGGAAUUCCGGGUGUAGUGGUGAAAUGCGUAGAUAUCUGGAGGAACACCGGUGGCGAAAGCGGCUUACUGGACCGUCUCUGACGCUGAGGUGCGAAAGCUAGGGGAGCGAACGGGAUUAGAUACCCCGGUAGUCCUAGCCGUAAACGAUGGGCACUAGGCAAUGGGCCACCUAUGGGGCUCAUUGCCGUAGCUAAUGUGUUAAGUGCCCCGCCUGGGGAGUACGCUCGCAAGGGUAAAACUCAAAGGAAUUGACGG
rnacentral:rRNA from 1 species